rnacentral:ncRNA from 1 species
GAGGAUAGAGGCGCAAAGACCAAUAGUACACCAUUUGAGGGAAAUGAGAUCCUAUGACAAUGGUGGAAAGGGGAAUUUGCCGAAGCGGAUAGAUACUCAUUGGUCUUGAAGCUGGUUCUGCUGUUGAAUAAGCACAGAAUUGUCAUAUAGGAAACUAUAUGGAGGGCUAUCU